UACGAAGGGGGGCUAGCGUUGCUCGGAAUUACUGGGCGUAAAGGGCGCGUAGGCGGCACUGUUAGUCAGGCGUGAAAUUCCUGGGCUCAACCUGGGGACUGCGCUUGAUACGGCAGAGCUUGAGGAUGGAAGAGGGUCGCGGAAUUCCCAGUGUAGAGGUGAAAUUCGUAGAUAUUGGGAAGAACACCGGUGGCGAAGGCGGCGACCUGGUCCAUUACUGACGCUGAGGCGCGACAGCGUGGGGAGCAAACAGG
rnacentral:rRNA from 1 species